rnacentral:rRNA from 1 species
GACGAACGCUGGCGGCGUGCUUAACACAUGCAAGUCGAACGGAAAGGCCCUGCUUUUGUGGGGUGCUCGAGUGGCGAACGGGUGAGUAACACGUGAGUAACCUGCCCUUGACUUUGGGAUAACUUCAGGAAACUGGGGCUAAUACCGGAUAGGAGCUCCUGCUGCAUGGUGGGGGUUGGAAAGUUUCGGCGGUUGGGGAUGGACUCGCGGCUUAUCAGCUUGUUGGUGGGGUAGUGGCUUACCAAGGCUUUGACGGGUAGCCGGCAUGAGAGGGUGAACGGCCACAUUGGGACUGAGAUACGGCCCAGACUCCUACGGGAGGCAGCAGGGGGGAAUAUUGCACAAUGGGCGGAAGCCUGAUGCAGCAACCCCGCGUGCGGGAUGACGGCCUUCGGGUUGUAAACCGCUUUCGCCUGUGACGAAGCGUGAGUGACGGUAAUGGGUAAAGAAGCACCGGCUAACUACGUG